CUGUCGCUCGGUGGCCCGUCUCUUUCAGUUCCACUUCCACAGGGCGUCUCCCCAAAUUGACUCCCUGUCCCUCACUCCCCAGGCGGCAGGAGCCGGCUAGGAGCGCACGGCAGUCGAGCUCCCAGCCGGUGCCCGGUGAGCCGCAAGGGUACGGCACGCGAGCUCUGGGCUGGGAGCGGCCAGGCCGGCAAUCGGCGCAGGCGAGCAACUCUGUGCAGUUGGGACUGCACAAAGCUGUUUCAAUUUGAUCAACCGGUGGAAAAAGCAUGCCUGCUCACUGGAUGGUUAUAUUACGAGUGCUGGUUCCUAAUUUUUCUCUAACUGAGUUCUCGAUAUCUCCCCUCUCCCGUCAAGGAUCCAGCAUUAUUGCAGAUGCAGGGCAUUGCUUCUUCCGGCUGUCUUGUUGUGCAAUGACACAUCUGGCUAACAUUCAGGAGCUAGAUAUUUGGAUGGUCACUAACCUCAGCUAAUGGCAAAGGACGAUCACUAGAGAUGGCAGUUGCAGAAACGAAAGCAGCAGUAAAACGAUACAAAAAUACAACUUUGGAACCAAAAGAUCUUUCGUUUGAAGAAUUACAGCAAAUGACGAAUGAUUUCUCGCAGAGCCAAGAAAUAAGUAGGGGCGAGCUUGGAGUUGUUUACAAGGGAGUGACUACAAAUGGAGAAUUGAUUUCUGUGAAGAGGCUUUUCGAGCUACUAGGACUUGACGAUGAGCAUAUCAAGAAGGAGUUUCAUAAACUUAGCCUGCUCAAGCAUCCAAACCUUGUUCGAUUCCUUAGCUAUUGCUAUGAAGAUAAUGGAGAUGCAGUUCAUAGCCAACAGAAAAAUAGAGCGCUUUGCUUCGAGUACUUGUAUAGUGACAGCCUCCAAACGUAUAUUUCUGAUAAAUGUCAAGGACUUGACUGGCACACACGCUACAAAAUUAUUCAGGGGAUUUGUGAGGGUUCAUAUUAUCUUUAUGAGAGACAGAAAGAACCUAUUUAUCAUUUGGACCUAAAUCCACGUAAUAUACUUCUGGAUGAGAACAUGACGCCAAAACUUACAUAUUUCGGUUUCUCUAAGAUUUUUGGUAAAGAUUAUUUAACAGACAUCUGGGACAGAGACCCUGAAACACUGUCAGUUUCUUGGUGCGCGCGAAUCAUACCAUUUUAUAAACAACCAAAGAGCUUGCUAUUAUUCCAAUUAUUUGUGUUUAAUGGCAUGCAGUAAAUACUGUCCACCAGAAUACAUACACCGUGGGACUGUCAAAAGAGUUUGAUAUGUUCAGCUUGGGUGCUGUAAUCAUAAUAAUAUUGACAGGACGGGCCGACUACAUCAGAAUUUCUAACAGAUCUUCCCAAGAAUUUAUCGAUUUGACUGUAAAAAACUGGAGCAAAAGGCUGCAACAAACAUUUAGUGGUUCUCCACUAGAACUAUGCUGCCAUCAAUUAAAGAAAUGCAUGGAGGUAGCAUUCAGAUGCGUGGAGGAGGACAGACAUGAAAGGCCUGGUAUAGUCGAUGUAAUCUAUGCUCUGAAUGAGAUUGAUGAUACUAUUGAUUGGAUGGAAGAUGGCCUUUGGGACAAGGACGUCGAGGGCGGCAAAACGGAAGGCAGUCGUGGCAUGCCAUGGUCAGGAACUAGUUGGUUUUGGGGCCUACGAUGGUGGUUGAGCAAAGAGUUGUGGAACUGUCUGUGGGUGAAGAUUCCACUCACAGAAUUGAUGACAUAAAUAUAGAACUCAAGGUCCUGGAGUGCAUAGUUGAUGGAAGGGAGGACCCAAGUAAUCUAAAAUUGCCACUUUUAGAGCUCAUCACAAAGAAAUUCGCUAAUGAGCUGAGAAUCGGUAAUGGUGGGUGCGGAGAGGUGUAUAAGUCUAAACAGGGCGUCUUGCAAAACAAGGUUAUUGCUGUGAAGAAGCUUCACAGCAGCCAUACGAUUGAAGACAAGAUGUUCCAUCAGGAGGUUCAAAGCUUGAUUAUGGUUAAGCACCAAAAUAUGGUACGCUUUCUUGGCUACUGUUUGCAUACAGAAGAAAAGGCAAUGAAAAUGGAAGGAAAAAUUAUUAUGGCGCAGAUACGGGAAAGAUUGCUCUGUUUUGAUUAUAUGAGCAAAGGGAGCCUCGAGAAUCAUCUCACUGGUAAUUUAUACUGUCUUAUUAGUAUCUAUAUAAUCCACUGUUGUGCUUCCUAAUGGUUUAGCCAUUCAUUUAUUUGUUCACCUUCCCUUUUUGCACACCUGUUUAAGUUAAGGUUGAUGAUUUAUAAGUGACUAAUAAAUCAGAAUGGCACAGAGUACUUUGAAGUUUAGCAUGUAUAAACUAAAAAAUGUCUCAUGCUUCCAUCUUAGUAUUAGAACCAUGCUAAGACACGAUCUCGUCCACAAAGGGGCACAUCAUCAAUCAUCCUUUCCAGAACAUCAUAGUUGUGGCUGGAUUUGCAUCCAUUAUCCAAAAGUCAGGUAAAGCUAAUGAUAUUUCUUUUCUAUGAUGUUAGCAUGCUGCUAUCCUUUUUAUUAGUUGCAAAAAAUUGCAAAGACCCAUCUGCAAUUUCGAAGGUCUGUCAAAUGAUCAAUAACUUACCUUUGUCGGUCUACCCCCUACAACUUGUUCUAUAUCAUGAGUUUAACAAAUAAAAGAUCUGUAGGUAUAUGAUUUGCAGACUUAUACAUCUCCUACCAAGUUACAUAUAAAGUUGUGAAGUUCUUCCUCGAUUGGGUUGCUACCUCGGACAAAGCAAUUAGAUUUGCUAUCUCUUAUGUUCUUGGUCAAUAAAGAACUCCUAUUGAAAAGGUUCCCAAGUUAUCCAGUAGGGGCUCUAAAAAAAGUUAUCCAGCAGGGGGAGAUCAAGCACAAAGCAUUGAAGUAGAUAUAAUGUGCAGUAUGGACCAGAUCAAGUAAAUAAGUACAUAUGUGUCACACAAAUGGUGUUUAGGACCUGAAACCUGAUAUGCCUUCUUUUCUGCGUGCAAGUUUCCAUAACGAAUCGGCACUAUAACAUGCUCUUCAGCCGUAAGGCUCCUACGAUUGUAUUUUUGGGUAUAUCCCUUUUAGAGUUUGAGUUUUAAACCUUUUAUCCAUGAUGAAACCUAGAGAGUUUUUCCUCACAGCUUGGUGUUUGGUGGCCUGAGAGUUCAUAAGAUCGUCAUCGGCAGCAGUUUAGUUGCAGAUCUUGAUUUGAUUCAUGCACAACUUGGUGGUGGUUGUAGUAGCUCCAAUGUUUUGUUUGGUCAGUACAACACAAGAGGCAACCACGGCAUGUAUGCUUGUAGUUUUGAAACUUUGUUAAUAUUUAGAAUUUAGAUGAGUGAAAAUGCCUUUGAAUAUGUUAUAGUUUGUUAAUUGUUUUUCAAAAAUUUUUA